UUAAACACAACUUAUGAUGCAUGAUGUACAAUAAAUAAAGCUACCCUUUAAAAAAUUGUCUUAAAGACAACUUAUGCAACUCUCUUUACAACUAAAUGAUGCAUAAAAAAUAGGGGGCAAACGUAUGCAGAAAAGGAAACCAUGGUGACUGGACAUCACAUGGAUCGAGCAGGGUCUAAUUAUAUCUGUCAAUCCUUUUCAACGAUCCAAUGGUUACAAACACCUUCACACUCUCCUAGAAUCUUCUGCAUUUCAAAUUUUGAUACCAAAGAAUACGCUCCAGUCACCGCCAUCUCUACUCCCUCUCGAUACCAUCAAAACCCUAAAGAUUCACCGCUCAGAUCUUCCAUGUUCUCUCAGUAUGAUUUGAGGGUGAUGGUGCGAAACCCUAACUACAAAGAAACAUAUUUGACCAAAUCUCAUAUAUUUCCUCGACAUGAACACCAAACACCCCUGUUCUGGUAAGAGCUUUCAGAUUUCUAUCUGUGUUAUAAAGCCUUUGUUAUUAUAUUUUGUCUUUGUCCUUUUCGUCAGCUUAUACUAUUCGUUUGAUAAAACUCAGAAUUAAAGAAGGAAAGUUAACAUUCAGAUUCUAUCAGUUUAACCUGUAAUUGAUGGACUUAGAUCUCUUUUUUGUUACAGAUAUUGUGGUUUUAGGGAAGUUUACUGAAAGGAGUUGCAGGAACAAAAAUCAAAGGGACGAAGGGGAACAUAAAGGUGAAUGAAAAAUUGUUGCGUCCUUUUGUUUAAUUUUUUUGCCCCCUCUUUUACGAGCCCUAAAUUGAAAUUUGUCUUACUUGGGUUUUUAAUCUGGUGCAUCUAUAGUCGCAGGGAAUAGUCCAAGUCGUCAAGCAGGGUUGAUUCUUUGCUUUGUCUGACAUUGUUAUUUGCUUUCCUGGGUUAGAUUUUGAUUUUCCUUCCUUUUUGUUUCUUGAUUUCACAUGUUUGAUUGUUCUUCCACAGGUUCUUAUGCUUUUUAGCUCAAAUAAAGCUAUACAUUUUUUGGUCAACAAACCUUCUGAAACACAACCCACCACCACAGUUGUCACUAACCUUAGAUCUUAAGCUCAACACUGCCACAACUCGCCUCCAUUUAACUCUGCUACCAUCACUUCUACUUCAUGGAAACACAUCUAUAUAUCUCUCUCUAAUAUCAUAUCUAAAUCUUCAACACACCUCAGUCUCGCUCUCUUCCUUUCUUUCUUUAUUGAUGCCCCAUCGUUCAGAUCACAUGCAAACACACAGAUUAAUUAUCAUUGUUCCUUUUCUCAUUCGAUCUGUACAAAAGAAACAUAGAAACCAUUUUUUGUCUUUUCGGUGGAAGAUGUUCCAGAUCUGUGUGCAUGUUUUAAGAUGUUUCAUAUUUGUGUGCAUAUUGUGUAUGGUGUAGAUCUAUGUAUGAUUUUGAUUUGUGUUAUCUAAGUAGGUUGAUUAUUUGUAUUUAUUACAUGUAUGUAUUCUUUUUAAUUUUUUUUAGCAAUGGAAAAGAUAAUUGAUCAGGAAGAUGAACAUGGAUGUUCAUAUUGUAAAGGAAUUAAGAAGAAAGUAAGAGUUAGGUUUAUUUUUUUGUUUGGAUCUUGAAUUUUUAGUUUCUGAUUAGAUCUUCUUCAAAAAUUUGAACUCCAACAGUUCUAUGUUUCUAUAAUAAAUUUUGUUAACAAUUUAUGUAAGUUUCUAUAUGUGUCGGUGUGUUUGAAUGUUUUUUAGCAUGUCUACACUUUUUUAUUUAAGUUUUUAAAAGGUUAGAGUAAUAAAUUUACAGAUCCAGAGGUCAGAAAGUAUUUUGUUUUUGUUUCAUUUAAAAUGUAACCAUCUUUUUACCUGGUAAAUUAUUUAACGAUGAAAUAAAAGUUUUAUGUUUUGGUUGUUUAAAAUAAGUUUAAUUGUGUUCAUGUAUGUAAGGUUGUCGUGCGUUUGUAUAUUAAUAUUUGGUGUUACAAGUUUCAUUUCAUGGGUAUAAUUGUGAAAUUUGUAUAUAAUUUGAUAUUUUGUUGUAAAACAACAAUUAAUUAAAAAUAAAGAUGAUUAUCAAUGAAUGAGAAAUGAGG
rnacentral:lncRNA from 1 species